UCAUCAAGAGCUAUAUUAAAUAUAGAUUAAACAAAAAAUAAAACUAAUUAAGUCAUUGUCUUCCAAGGAGGAAUAUCGUUAUCUCUUGUUGCAGAGUUAUGUAUGAGUAUGAAAAUGCUAGUGAAGCCAAAAGCUAAUGCAAGUGAAAGGUUGACACUGUUAGUCCUUUUUUGGUUGACGCGUUGGAGGGAAUUGACUCUUGUAUCUUCUUGGAAAAGAAUCAAAAACAUUUAUUCAUUACAACUUUUACUAGAAUCUUUUUUUGUUUUUUAUAUCAAUUCAUAAUGUUUCUUGUUAAUAUAAGGACGAAAAAACACAAAUCAAUGUGUCGUGGUAGAGUUGUGUUUACCAAAUCAAAGACAUUUUAUAAUGUUGGGACUUAAAACUUUUUUAUCUUAGAUUUUUCUCAUUUGUUACAUAAUGCAAAAGAAUCUUUUAUCUUUCUCUUUCUAUCCCCCAA
rnacentral:lncRNA from 1 species